AACUCAUCAAGUGCAUAUCAAACCGUUUCUAGGUCUUAAAGGUUGGUGGCCUAGAAAAAUCAACUUGCCAAAGUUAGGCCACCAUUUGUUAAGGCCUAGAAAACACAUAAGCUGCAUUUCUAGCAGAUU
rnacentral:precursor_RNA from 14 species